rnacentral:lncRNA from 1 species
UGUUUUUCCUUUUCACAUUUCUACAAUGACAUACAAUAAUAUUGUUUUUUUAUUAAACAUAGAAGAAUUGUAUGUUAAUAUUCCCUCUAAUCCCAAUGUGAAAUCAUUCCAUAUACAUGGUUUCUUGCUGGCGGGAAUUAGUAUGAUGUAUUUUACAUAAAAAAGAAAAGGGUUGGAAAGAAUGUUCAAAAGGAAAAGUUGGUAAAAAGAAAAAGUGUUU